GACGAACGCUGGCGGCGUGCUUAACACAUGCAAGUCGAACGGAAAGGCCCUGCUUUUGUUGGGUGCUCGAUUGGCGAACGGGUGAGUAACACGUGAGUAACCUUCCCUUGUCUUUGGGAUAACUUCAGGAAACUGGGGCUAAUACCGGGUAGGAUCUCCUGCUGCAUGGUGGUGGUUGGAAAGUUUCGGCGGUUGGGGAUGGACUCGCGGCUUAUCAGCUUGUUGGUGGGGUAGUGGCUUACCAAGGCUUUGACGGGUAGCCGGCCUGAGAGGGUGACCGGCCACAUUGGGACUGAGAUACGGCACAGAAUCCUACGGGAGGCAGCAGUGGGGAAUAUUGCACAAUGGGCGGAAGCCUGAUGCAGCAACGCCGCGUGCGGGAUGACGGCCUUCGGGUUGUAAACCGCUUUCGCCUGUGACGAAGCGAGAGUGACGGUAAUGGGUAAAGAAGCACCGGCUAACUACGUG
rnacentral:rRNA from 1 species